rnacentral:antisense_RNA from 1 species
ACGUAAGAGGGGCUGGUGCAUUGUGGAAGUCAAUAAAUAAGUUUUGUUAAAUCUGAGUAAGAAGACCCGUUUGUUUCCUCAAAUUGCUUAUAAUCUAGGUGAGGACACAUCUGAGAGAAUAACUAAUAGUUCAGUGAAGGCAUGGUGAAGACCCUGUUUCUCUAGCUGUGCAGCUGCAAGGUCACUAGACAGAUAAACUCAAGCCAUAAAACAUGUUUUUCCUUGAAAAAUUAGAAGGGUGUUACUGAUUCUUACCUCAGAGAAGAGAAUGUCAUGGAGACAAAAUGACCUGCUUAGAGUUCUGCGCCCCCCAGCAUGGAGAGCAGAGCGCAAAGAUUUCCUCCAGACUCCCACAUUCUCCCUUGGAAUCCAAGAACUUGUCUACUAUCACAACACUUUAGUACCCAC